AUGCGCCAGACCACUCGCUCUGCCGCACGCUUCCUUGCACAAUAUUUCGAGCGUCUGAGGGAGUUACUAAUUGAAUUCAUUGGUUUUGUGUCACAUAGACCUGGUUUGUCAAAGAUCAGAUUUGAUCAUUUAGUAUUUAGUGAUCAAGAACUAGAAUAUAUUGAUAGGCACAUGGCCUGGAACAAAGCUGCGACACCACAGGGGCACGGCGGCUGCAACAGUGCAGGAGUGGCUGAGAGGAGCCGCCCCACGUCCGAGGUCAGGGGAGGCGGCCGGCAGGAGCCGCCCCACGUCCGAGGUCAGGGGAGGCGGCCGGCAGGAGCCGCCCCACGUCCGAGGUCAGGGGAGGUGGCUGACAGGAGCUACCCCACGUCCAAGCUACAGUUUAUGUUUGAAGAACCUGAAGAUCCCAGUAACAGGUCUUUUUUUUCUGAAAUCAUCUCUUCAAUUUCUGAUGUAAAAUUCAGCCAUAGUGGUCGGUAUAUGAUGACUAAAGACUAUUUGUCAGUCAAAAUUUGGGACUUAAAUAUGGAAAACAGGCCUGUGGAAACAUACCAGGUACAUGAAUACCUCAGAAGUAAACUUUGUUCACUGUAUGAAAAUGACUGCAUAUUUGACAAAUUUGAAUGUUGUUGGAAUGGAUCUAACAGUGUUGUCAUGACUGGAUCUUACAAUAAUUUCUUCAGAAUGUUUGACUGGAACACAAAGCGAGACAUAACCCUGGAAGCAUCACGAGAAAACAAUAAACCUCGCACGGUUCUAAAGCAACGCAAAGUGUGUGCAAGUGGCAAGCGAAAGAAAGAUGAAAUCAGUGUUGACAGCCUAGACUUCAACAAGAAAAUACUUCACACAGCCUGGCACCCCAAGGAAAAUAUCAUUGCUGUAGCUACUACAAACAAUCUGUAUAUAUUUCAAGACAAAGUGAAUUAGGGUUGGCCUUCCUAGCAGAAGAACCCACUUCCUGCUUAGUUGAGAUAGUUGAAUCUCUCUUAUAAAAGAGAGAGGUCCAUUGUGGCGUGGCGUCCCUUUUCCAGUGUUUGACAGUGUGCCAUUCGACAACACAUUUUCCAUAGCAACAUGGAGAAAGCUCUGUGGAUCCCUCCCUGUGGUGUUCUCCAUGUCUGCUGGCCAUUUAGGUAAGGGUAGGGCACUUUUAAUUUAAAUGACUUCUUGCACCAUCUUGCCUAAUGGACUAGAUUGGACUGUGUCAACAUUGAUUUACUCCACUUUUUAUGCCUUCCAUUGUGAUGACGUCAAACAGAGUGAAAGCCUUCAGUCAUGCUUAUGGGAUUUAAUUGUGUAUCCUCAUUACUGUAUCAUUUGUGGGGUACACCCCACCUCCCCUUCUUUAAAUUAAACACAGCUCAUUCUUACUGUGGCUUGUAGCAUUCCUCCUCUCUGGGCUACUGGACUCUUCCCCUUCAUCUCUCUUCCCCUUGCCCCUCCACCCAGUCUUGGUGGUGCUAUAAAAAGGAAAGAACGAAAGCACACAGACGAGUCAGUCUGGGGUCAGUGGUAAAGGGGGUACAUGUUGCGAACAAAUGUUUUAAUAACAGUUGGCUGUAAUCACUCCUUGUCGUGUCUGGCACUGAAAA